GGUGAACGCUGGCGGCGGGCCUAAUACAUGCCAGUCGAACGGAAGCACAGUGAGCGUUCGCCUCUAAGGUUGGCGGGUGGCGGGUGGGUGACGCGUGGAUCACCUUCCUCUUAUUCUUGGGGGACAUCGGGGAAACGCGUCUGAUACCGGCGCAUAUGUUCUACCGGAUGGAUCAAUGGUGCAAGGCAGUUUUUGCGUUUCUUAUAGCUGGUUUCGCGCCGCAUUAGCUAGUUGGUAAGGGAACGGCUUACCAAGGCAACGAUGCGUAGCCGACCUGAGAGGGUGAUCGGCCACACUGGAACUGAGACACGGUCCAGACUCCUACGGGAGGCAGCAGUAGGGAAUCUUCCGCAAUGGGCGAAAGCCUGACGGAGCAACGCCGCGUGAGUGAUGAAGGUCUUCGGAUCGUAAAACUCUGUUAUUAGGGAAGAACAAAUGUGUAAGUAACUAUGCACGUCUUGACGGUACCUAAUCAGAAAGCCACGGCUAACUACGUG
rnacentral:rRNA from 1 species